rnacentral:rRNA from 1 species
CUGUGCUGACGAGCGGCGGACGGGUGAGUAACGCGUAGGAAUCUACCCAGUAGCGGGGGAUAGCCCGGGGAAACCCGGAUUAAUACCGCAUACGCCCUACGGGGGAAAGCAGGGGAUCUUCGGACCUUGCGCUAUUGGAUGAGCCUGCGUCGGAUUAGCUAGUUGGUGGGGUAAAGGCCUACCAAGGCGACGAUCCGUAGCUGGUCUGAGAGGAUGAUCAGCCACACCGGGACUGAGACACGGCCCGG